CACGUAGGGGGGCGAGCGUUUGUCCGGAUUUAUUGGGCGUAAAGAGCUCGUAGGCGGCUCGGUAAGUCAGGUGUGAAAACUCUAGGCUCAACCUAGAGACGCCACCUGAUACUGCUGUGGCUAGAGUCCGGUAGGGGAGCAUGGAAUUCCUGGUGUAGCGGUGAAAUGCGCAGAGAUCGGGAGGAACACCCGUGGCGAAGGCGGCCAUCUGGACCAGCACUGACGCUGAGGCACGAAAGCGUGGGGGAGCCGAACAAGG
rnacentral:rRNA from 1 species